AGCUGCAUGAUCUACACAGCAUGUGUGCUGGUUCCAUGCUUGUUGCUUGCUUUUAGGGCACUUAUUUAUUUAUCAGUAAAGAAGAGGCUCAGGAGUAAACCCUACACAAAUUCGGAACGGAGUCCCUAAGGCAGUUGGAUGGCACCUUGCACGCCUCCAUCCGGCAACUCCUGCAGCCAAACUGGUGCCAAAGGUAUUGCUCUGGGCUCUCUCUAUCUUUUUUUUAUUUUUUUUGGAGCACAUCAGCAAGGCUGAGAGGGGGGGUCUUGUCGACUGAGCAGCUCAGGACCUCCAGAAACACAGCCCAGGCUUCCACCUCAGGGAAGUCACUUUGGUGCUGCUAACACAGCCUAACCAAUGUGGGAGGCAGCAGUUCUGAAUGGUGGACAGACACUAUAUUGUUCAGUGUUCAAAGUGUUGGUGCUGACCUUUAAAGCCCUAAACAGCCUCAGCCCAGCGUACCUGAAGGAGCGUCUCCACCCCCGUCAUUCAGCCCAGACACUGAGGUCCAGCUCUGAGGGCCUUCUGGCGGUUCCCUCACUGCAAGAAGCAAAGUUACAGGGAACCAGGCAGAGGGCCUUCUUGGUGGUGGUGCCCGCCCUGUGGAACACCCUCCCAUCAGAUGUCAAGGAAAUAAACAACUAUUUGACUUUUAGAAGACAUUUGAAGGCAACCUUGUAUUGGGAAAUGUUUAAUGUUUGAUGUUUUAUCAUGUUUUUAAUAUUCUGUUGGGAGCUGCCCAGAGUGUCUCGGGACACCCAACCGGAUGGGCAGGGUAUAAAUAAUAAAUUCUUCUUCUUCUUCUUCUUCUUCUUCUUCUUCUUCUUCUUCUUCGUCUGUCAGGGGGCAGACUACCCCAAAUUCCUGGAAUCAAAUAAAGGGUUAGAAUUUAAUCAAAGUCCCUUAAACCCUAGAUCCAACUGGGUUUCCAUUGCUGGAAUUGCCAGGCCAGCCUGUUAAAGGCCACCUAGUAUGAGUUGUUAACCUAACAAAGCAAGGUGAUGAGCUCUUGAGAGGGACACUCCCUUCCCUGAGCUCUGAGAUAGUUAGAAGACAAUGUCAGAGUUUUAGCUUUGACGUUCGCAGGAACGCAACACGGUAGUAAGGUAGCGAGCUGGAGAAAGAGGAAAUGCAAAAGGGCUGUUGUCUGACUGAUUCCUGGGCUCCUGUGGCUAUGAGGGAACAAGAAUCUCCUGGUGUCAGGGGUUCAGGGACAGAGGCACAGGGUAGGGAGGAGAUGGAGAGCGAUGGGGAUGAAUCCCAGGACAGCGAGGAAGAGGAUGACAAUGACUCAAGAGAUUCCAUGAGUCUUUCCAGCGAAUCAGAGGAUUCCCAGAAGGGGGCGCCAGUGGUCAAGGCCAGGGGAGCCCCAGGGGGGACGUGUCAGGAACAGGGGGCCAGCGGGGGGAUCCCAAAGUGGCAGCUGGGCGUCAGGACCAGCCUCCCCGCCAGAGUGCAGCGAAGGGGGUGGAGGUUCCAGUGUAUCAGGGGAAGCAGCUCCGGCAGCAGAGAAGGGAGGCAGGUUGGAGCAAGCCACCCUCCCGGAAGGGGAGGGGAGUAGUGUAACUGUCAAAAGGAAAGUUAGAGGUUGGGCGCGCGCGCCAAGUUCAAAUGUAGAGGCGCGCGGAAGUACAGGGAGCCCGGAGGAAGGGCCAGGUCCUAAAGCCCGCAGGAGGGGGGAAGAGCAGUCAGGGGAUAGCGCGUCAGGGGAAUCCAGGAGGGGCGAAACCCCAGCAGGCAGGAAGACCCUGAGGAAAAGGAAAGAGAGAAAGAGGUGGAGCAGCGCAAGGCUCUUAAACUGGUGCAGGGGAGGGACUGACUCAGAGGGGACUUCAACGGUCUAAGCAUACAGACGUGGGGCUGCGCGCCUCGGAUAUGAAGCAAACAAUGAACAGCAAUAAACACUUUUGUAUAUAAGAAGAGAUUGGCGUUGGUCUUUUGUGAGCUGAGACCUGAGGCAGCCGUGACACCUGGGCUGUACUGCUGGGAGUCCUUCCAUCAUGGGCUCAGGUUGUAUAUAUGUGUAAAUAAACCCUAUAUGGUAAAGACACCACAGUCUCUGCUGUGCCUCAUUUUCUAAAAGGAAACACAGAUCCCGGGUAAGUACGCCUGGAACUCCUGGAAUAUGACACUGUUCAGAGACUGAGGUGACGUGCAACCAUAUUUUAUUAUUAGUUACACACUCUCUCACUUUUCUUCUAAAGAGCUCUAGGUGAUUCCUCUUCCCUGCUUUUUAUCUUCGCAACCACUAUCCCGUGGGGCAGGUUUUGGGGGUGGCGGGGAGAGCAAAUUCACUGAGGAAACGCUCCAAGCCACAGCUCCGGUGGUUCACCACAAGAGGCAGUUGACGGUUCUAGUCCCCAGUGACCUGAUAUGGAUUUAAACUUGCCUAACAGUCCUUACCUCUCACUCCAGAAUUGUGGGAAUUGUAGUUCUGCGAGGCAGACUCGGGCUCCCUGUCACAGAAUUCUAAGCAUCCUCAUCAAACCACAGUUCCAAAGCUUUGUUGUAAUUUUUCAUACUAUGUUCCAGAAAACUGAAAUUUCUCAGAAGAUGCCUCUGAGGAUUCCUCGAUGACCUUCCAGAUCAGUCAUGGCAGACGUAUUUCCCUGAAAGUUAAAUCGUCUAAUUCUUCAACAUAUAAUCAUAGGUGAUUGUUGGGUGUGCUUCGCAUGCGUUCUCCAUUGAUGUAGACUGACAGUGAAGUCUAAGAGGCCUCAUGUGAACCAAGGGUGUGGCUUGAAGAUGCCCCAGAAUUCUCCCCACUGUCUGUGGCUCUUUGGCAACAGAGCUGGUUCAAGGCAUGGGGCUGCUGGAGAUGAAGGAGAUGAAGACCUCACUCAAUGUAAAAUCAAUGAAGAUACAUGAGAAUUAGGGAGGCUGGAGAAAUUGUUGAUGUUCAUUUAUUUGUCCUUGGACUGGAAUGGGAACCAAGCAACUGGUAUUCAAUGUUGUUGUUGCAAAUCUGCAAAUGAUACAUAAUUCCCCCUCCCUCCCUUUGCAUUGUGUUUCCUUUGACUGGGACAACGUAAUGGCAACGUAACUUACAGAAGUUAUGUAAUUCCAUUGCAGGGGACAGCAAGGUGAACAAUGUAGCUUUUCGCAGGAGACAGACAGAAGCAGAACAGAAAUAGCGCUGCAUGUGAAGAAUACAGGGCGGAACAGAAAAAGAUGCACAGCGCCAUGGUGAUUCUUAGGAUGCAGUCUAAUAAUAUCACUGGUGACUCUUAUAAUACAAUCCAUGGACAGCAGUGUGGGUUUAAUUUGUCUGUGGUUUGUGGGAGAUGCCUUUGUGAAAAUCACAGGGAUUUCUUCCAAGGGUCUACGUUUUGUGCCAUGGUGGUGCCAGCACUGGAUCUGUGGCACUGCCUGCUCAGUCCAUGGAGAAAGAUGUGUUCUGUGAUUUAAUGGUACCACACUAUUUUAACAGUCUUUCUUUUCUAUGCCCUGCAGCACUCGUCUUAUGACUGGCACUCGCAACAGUUUCUCAUAAUUCCAUGUGUGCCCACAGGCCCCAGAGAGGCUGGAGGCUGCAGUAGCAGUUGCUGGGGUGUUGCCUUCAAGUCUUCUUGUUUAACGCAACACAUUUAUAAUGGUUAAACAAAGGUGGCAUUGUAGGAAAUGGACAUGAGGCCACUAGAGGGACCUUUGGCCCGAGCCAACAAAUCUAUUAUUUUAUGCUUGUUCUCAAUGUGUAAACUUGCUGCACCAAGGGCGGAGAAAUAUUUUCAGCCUGAAGAUUGCAUUGCCUCAGAGGAAACAAUCUGGGGUCCAUAUGCCUGUGGUGGGUGGAGACAAUGGUGGGUGGAGCAACAGACAUGGCAUGCCAGUCAUGGAGAGGCCAGAAGUUUCUCAUUUCACCUGGUCACAAUUCAAGGACACUUUCCAACCAUGCUAAAUCCAUGAAGGAGGACUCAGGGCCUGGGUGGUGAGGGAUGGAGCUGGGAAGAAAGGGUGUGACAUGGGGAAUGGGCUUUAGCUGAGGAAAGUCCCGAGGGCCACAUACAGAGACCUGGGGGUCCACAUUCAGUUCUCCACCCCUGAGCUACACUGUGAGCUCUUUGACAGGAAACUGGAACCCAACAGAAAACUAGAACCCAAAACAGACCAAUUCCUCCUGUCAGAGCUGUCUGGGUGAGCUCUUUUUGAGAUGGAAAGUGGUUUUUGGUGCUGCCCAGUCCUAAGCCAGGCUUGGUAUUGAUGGGUAUCCAAAUAUUGUCAUUAAUUGACCAGAAUUUCUUUGACAGAGUAAGCACCUUCCUCUUCACAGAUGAACCCCCUUUUGCGGAUUCUUCUUGCUUUGGAGUCUAAUACACUGAAGAGAGGAAAGGAAGAGGCUGAUUUUUAAGAAGAAAGCAACACUGAGCAGCCCGUUCAGAAAUUAGUUCUGCCAAAGUUCUUUGUUUUGAGGAAUUUUGGCCACUUCCUAUUAUCUGCUUUUUGUGUGUGUCUUGUGACUCUGACUAAAUAUAUGACGUG
rnacentral:lncRNA from 1 species